UGAAACAGGAGUGCUUUAUGGUCUGAGUGGAGUGUUUGGGAGGAGUGCCUCCCGGCUCCUGCCUUCGGGCUCACCUGAGCGGGGGCGCAGCUGAGGCCACUGUGGGAAACACAACCCCCACUCCCAGGAGAGGCCUCACAUGCUGCCUUCGGUCUCGCCAGCCUUCUAGCGUGGGGCCUGGGCCGCCCUUUAGGGUGAGUCUGCACACCCGUGUUCAGGGCUCCCGGCCGGAAGCGGAACCAUAGGCAUGCUGCGGCCCCAGAUGAGCGCGGAGGGCAAGCAGGUGCCGGGGCAGCGCACACCCCACAGCCAAGCGGCCCCUGCCCAGCCUCUGUAAACAGACCCUCACAGGUCCCUCCUGGGCCUCAGUCACAUCCCUGAGAAACACUGGCGGCUCUGCCCCGAGAGGGCCAGGGUGUCCACCGAGCCUGGCUGAAGCCAGCUGUCCCCUCCCUUCUUGCAGAGCAGGCUCACACUGGGCCUGAAGGCCCAGCACCUGCAGGGCCCAGCCUGGGGACCACCAAUGCCCGGCCUCUUCCAGCUCAGAAGCGCACACGGCAGCCACGGGGCAGCGGCAAAGGCGAUGGUACAGAGGCAAAUGCCUCCCCAGGCAGUGACAGGCACGCCCCCCGCCCCAGGGCGGCCACUGCCCACGCCGGCCUAGAGCUCCUCGUAGUCGCCACCCCCAGGGUGGCGGCCGCCCGGGGCCCCGCCCCCCAGGAAAGCCUCCAGCUCAUCGGCAGCCGUCCUCUCCCUGCUGCGCGGGGGCCGCUGCUGCCGCCGUCGCCGCUCCUCCUUGCCCUCCUCCUUGUCCUUGCUCUUCUUGUGUUUGCUCUUCUUCUUGGCAGCUUUUUCUUCUUCCUCUUUGCCUUUUUUCUUCUUCUUCUUCUUCUCCUUAGAGGGGGUUUUGCCCUCCUUACCUUCCUCACUGCUCUCCUUGGGUCCGGCCUCCUCCAGCCCCAGCCCGAAGAGGUCCGAGUCAUUCUUCAGUCUGAAGGCGGGGAGAGGGAGCUUGGGGGGUGGGGGCGGCUCGGCAGGGCCCUCAUCCUCGUCAGUCACAUCGGAGGGGUCAUCUCGCACGGGAAAGUCAUCCGCCCUGCGCUGUGUGUCUGAUCCCUCGCUCUCAAAGUCGGGGUCAUCCAUGACGAAGGACAGCAUUUGUGCAGCAAUGGGUCCCUCGGGGUCACUCUCCGACGAGGAGGCCUGCUCACCCUUCCCCGGCUCCAUCUCAGCAGGGGGCCUGGUGCUGCUGCGCUUCUCCGGACCUUCUUCUCGUCCCUGGCGGGGGUUGUGUCUUCCAGGAAGCUGCGGUCCAGGCGGUCGUCAGGAACAAAGUCCUCCACACUCUGGACCGUUGCUGGGCCCUCUGCGGCCGGGACUGGCUCUGGAGGUGGAGGGGCUGCCUCGGUGGCAGGUGACGUCCCAAACAGCCUAGAGAUGAUGCUGCGCCGUGGGGCGGGGGCUGAGGGGCACGCAGGUGGGGGCAGGGCCUCUGAGGGUGGUACAGGGGGCACAGAGGAUGGUGGGGCGGCAUUGAGGGGCAGCUGUGGGGCGGGCUGGGGUGUGCCGGGGCUGGAGCUCCCCGUGGACACAGCGCCUGCAGGCACCACUGGUGACUGGGAGCCCGGGGAUGGGCUCUGCCCGUUGGCCGCCAGUGGGGACGCAUGGCCACGGCUGCGAGCCUCCAUCAUCUCCAGGAAGAUGCCGUAGUUCUGGUCCUCCGUCUCCUGCUGCACCGACAGCUCCUCCAGCGUGGCGUCCAUGUCCAGCUGGUUCGUCUCCAGCUGCCGCAACAGCGUCUCCCUCUGAAGCUGCAAAAAUGGGAUAUUGAAGAACUUAUGAAGGUACUUUAGGCCGAAGCUGUUCUUCAUGGAAGACUCAGCAUAGCGGAAGUAGGAGGAACCUGGAGGUCUGUCCAGGUUGUCGAUGAAGUCACGCACGUCGUCCGGCAGGAUGACUCGGUGCUCGCCCAUGUCCCGGUAGUUUCCCAGCACGCACACUGGCACGUGGGUGGGCACUUUUGGAAGCUCCCGGAGAAUGUAAUUGAAGGUCCACUGCUUGGUAAUGUCGAACAUCAUGACCACCCCGUUGCAGUUCUUGUACACGUCCAGGAACUCAGCAUCCAGGGCCAUUUCAGACUCCGCCUCCUGGGGGUCGUUCUCCAUCUUUAAGCCGUCGCCUCGCUUUUUGCAUUUUCCUUUGUCUACUACAUCCCAGACUUCAACCUUCACGAUGUCAUCCGUGGUCUUGUAGCUCCAGUGGAUGCUGGUGACCUGGAUCUCCUGUGUGGGGAUGUACUCCUCCACGAACGGCCGGCCCUGCAGGCGGUGCCACAGCGCUGUCUUGCCCGUGUUCCUGUCUCCCCGGAUCACUAUCUUCAUGUUGUACUGCACCCCCUUGGCGAAGCGCCUCUGCAACGCCUGGUUCAUGGACUGCAGCCCGGCGGGGAUGUUCUUGUCCCGGCCCGGGGCCUGGUCCGACCCCACCAGCUUCUUCAGGGCGGAAAACAUCUUCCCGCUCGGACGUCCCAGCCCGGGCGCGGCCGGCGAGCUCAGCGGCGGCGGGGAAGGGGUGCGACUGGCACCAUGUCCCGGCGGCCCCGGCCCCCCCGGAGGCCGGAGCCGGCGCGGCCAGAGGCCGGGGUCCCGGCGGCGGAGCGCAGCCCCGAGCGGCGACUCGGGAACCUCAGCCGCGGCUGCUCCGCUCCGGCCCCCGCGGCCUCCGGCGCGACCGCUCUCCAGGAGUC
rnacentral:lncRNA from 1 species